ACUGAGCACCAUAAAUAAUAAUAAAAAGCUACAACAUAAUAUACUAGAUUUCAAAAAGACUUUCUAGCUCCUACUUCCUACAAAGCUCAGUGGUAAUCAUCAGAAAAGCUCCAUAGAAGGUGGAUAGAUUGAAACUUGGAAGCUUAAAACUUGGAUAAAAGGUUGGAACUCGUGGGAAGAAAAGUAAGUAUGAUUCGUAGCUGCUGGAUGUAUAUAUGAUGAAAAUCGUUUGCCGAUGGAGAUAUAUUUUAAGAGCUAUUCCAUAGGGCGAUGAUCAUGAUUCUAGGGCGGACCUGUGCCUUAGAGCCUAAAAACGAAGCUAGACUAGUUUAAUCAUGUUAUAAACUUUGUAUUUUCCUGUUUUGAAACAAUGGAACACUCUUGUCAAUAAAUAAAAUGUAACUUUAAUUUC
rnacentral:lncRNA from 1 species